GAAGUAGACAAGGAAUCCCAACCCCACAUUUUUCUUCUGAUGAAAUUUGCUCUAACUUGCUGGAUCUUGAUGUUUCACUGUAAGCCUUUUUCUCUAUAGCUUUUCAGCAAUGGAAAAACCGGGAUAAAAUAUCUACCUUCAGAAGAGCACACCCUGCAACAGACUCUGCACAGAGGAGGACUUACCCAUCUCAGUAGAGGUCCUUGUCCAUAAGACAGUUCAGAGAAGGAAGCUUCUGGGAAUGGUGAGAACACCCACGCUGCACACAGAAAAAAGGAUGACCCUCAGACUGUAACAUGGACCCAAAAUCAUGGUGAUUUCCAGAUAAUCCAUCACUGGCAGCAGAAUGAGUGGAGAACAGGACCGGGGACCAUCACAGAGUACUUCUACCAUGGAGGCGUGCUCGGUCUGCAGCAGCGUUACUCAGCAUCACAUCUCACCUUCUCCACAGACACCCUGUGGACAGACACUUUCAUAGAAUCAUAGAAUGGUUUGGGUUGGAAGGGACCUUAAAGAUCAUCGAGUUCCAACCCCCCUGCCAUGGGCAGGGACACCUCCCACUAGACCAGGUUGCCCAAAGGCUAG
rnacentral:lncRNA from 1 species